rnacentral:rRNA from 1 species
CGUAGGUGAACUGCGGAAGGAUCAUUACUGAGUGCGGGCUGCCUCCGGGCGCCCAACUCCCACCCGUGAAUACUAACACUGUUGCUUCGGCGGGGAACCCCUCGGGGGCGAGCCGCCGGGGACUACUGAACUUCAUGCCUGAGAGUGAUGCAGUCUGAGUCUGAAUAUAAAAUCAGUCAAAACUUUCAACAAUGGAUCUCUUGGUUCCGGCAUCGAUGAAGAACGCAGCGAACUGCGAUAAGUAAUGUGAAUUGCAGAAUUCAGUGAAUCAUCGAGUCUUUGAACGCACAUUGCGCCCCCUGGCAUUCCGGGGGGCAUGCCUGUCCGAGCGUCAUUGCUGCCCAUCAAGCCCGGCUUGUGUGUUGGGUCGUCGUCCCCCCCGGGGGACGGGCCCGAAAGGCAGCGGCGGCACCGUGUCCGGUCCUCGAGCGUAUGGGGCUUUGUCACCCGCUCGACUAGGCCGGCCGGGCGCCAGCGACGUCUCCACCAUUUUCUUCAGUGACCUCGAUCAGUAGAUACCCGCUGAACUUAAGCA